rnacentral:rRNA from 1 species
UACGUAGGGACCGAGCGUUGUCCGGAUUCAUUGGGCGUAAAGAGCGCGCAGGCGGUCGUUCAAGUCGAGUGUGAAAGUCCCCGGCUCAACCUGGGAACUGCAUUUGUGACUGCAUGGCUGGAGUGCGGCAGAGGGGGAUGGAAUUCCGCGUGUAGCAGUGAAAUGCGUAGAUAUGCGGAGGAACACCGAUGGCGAAAGGCAAUCCCCUCGGGCCUGCACUGACGCUCAUGCACGAAAGCGUGGGGAGCAAACAGGA